GCCGACGUGGCUCAAUGGUAGAGCAGCGGUCUUGUAAACCGCCGGUUAAGGGUUCGAUUCCCUUCGUCGGCU
rnacentral:tRNA from 1 species